rnacentral:rRNA from 1 species
CAGUCGCCGCGGGAAUACGUAGGGUGCAAGCGUUAAUCGGAAUUACUGGGCGUAAAGCGUGCGCAGGCGGUUAUAUAAGACAGAUGUGAAAUCCCCGGGCUCAACCUGGGAACUGCAUUUGUGACUGUAUAGCUAGAGUACGGCAGAGGGGGAUGGAAUUCCGCGUGUAGCAGUGAAGUGCGUAGAUAUGCGGAGGAACACCGAUGGCGAAGGCAAUCCCCUGGGCCUGCACUGACGCUCAUGCACGAAAGCGUGGGGAGCAAACAGGAUUAGAUACCCCGGUAGUCCCUGUCUCUUAUAC